rnacentral:lncRNA from 1 species
CUAUUUAUAUUUGUGUUCUUAUUUGCUUUUUCAUAGAGAUUCACAAGUAGUUAUCCUUCAACUUGGCAUUGCCCUCAAUGGCACCAUCAAAAAAAAAAAAAGGGAGAUAUUGGCCUCAAUGAUAAGGAAGAAGAUUAGUUAGAUUGAUAUUGUGAGAUUUAUAUUCAUGUCUCAUUUGCUUUCUCUUAAAGAUUCACAAGUGGUAUAUCCUUCAACUUGGCAUUGCCUUCAACGAUACCAUCAAAAAAUAAAAGAGAUGUUGCGCUCAAUGAUAAGGAAGAAGAUUAGUUAGAGUACCCCAUCACCUAUAGAAGAAUUAUCAAAUAUAUAAUCUAUAGCACCGAUACAUAUUUAUAAAGUUUCUUAGUAUUGUUCUUGUUGUUGUUGUUGUCGUUGUCAUUGUCAUUGUUUGUUUCCAAAUUAGUUUGACUUGAAGAACAGAUUCAUGCUAUUUGUCUCCGAACAUUAAGAAAAGCAUUUUGAACUUCUCUAUAAGUGACUUAUGUGGUUUAUUUACUUUCAUUUUCAGUACCAAGUCUCUCUCUUUCUAACAAAGUGUAUUCAGUUAAAUUAAGCAAACAAUUGUUAAUCUUAUGAGCAUACUUGCUUUGUCUCUUCUGUUUCUAACAGUUGCUUGUGUUAUUGUAAGCGAAGGAUCAAACAAGAAUUGUGUAGAUGAACUUUUAGGUGCUUUUGGCCAUAUGUGCACAUGAAUAUUUCGGAUAUAAACUUUUGAGAAGCAAGAAUAUUGUUGUUGUGAAAUAGUUUUCAUGAGUUAAUUGCUAA